rnacentral:rRNA from 1 species
GAUGAACGCUGGCGGCGUGCCUAAUACAUGCAAGUCGAACGAAACUUCUUUAUCACCGAGUGCUUGCACUCACCGAUAAAGAGUUGAGUGGCGAACGGGUGAGUAACACGUGGGCAACCUGCCCAAAAGAGGGGGAUAACACUUGGAAACAGGUGCUAAUACCGCAUAACCAUAGUUACCGCAUGGUAACUAUGUAAAAGGUGGCUAUACUACCGCUUUCGGAUGGGCCCGCGGCGCAUUAGCUAGUUGGUAGGGUAAAGGCUUACCAAGGCAAUGAUGCGUAGCCGAAUUGAGAGGUUGAUCGGCCACAUUGGGACUGAGACACGGCCCAAACUCCUACGGGAGGCAGCAGUAGGGAAUCUUCCACAAUGGGCGAAAGCCUGAUGGAGCAACGCCGCGUGGGUGAAGAAGGUCUUCGGAUCGUAAAACCCUGUUGUUAGAGAAGAAAGUGCGUGAGAGUAACUGUUCACGUUUCGACGGUAUCUAACCAGAAAGCCACUGCUAACUACGUG